UGGGGAAUUUUCCGCAAUGGGCGAAAGCCUGAUGGAGCAAUACCGCGUGAGGGAGGAAGGCUUUUGGGUUGUAAACCUCUUUUCUCAAGGAAGAAGAUCUGACGGUACUUGAGGAAUCAGCAUCGCCUAACUCCGUGCCAGCAGCCGCGGUAAUACGGAGGUUGCGAGCGUUAUCCGGAAUGAUUGGGCGUAAAGCGUGUGCAGGUGGCUAUGCAAGUCUGCUGUUAAAGAGUGGAGCUCAACUCCAUAAGGGCAGUGGAAACUGCGUAACUAGAGUACGUUCGGGGUAGAGGGAAUUCCUGGUGUAGCGGUGAAAUGCGUAGAUAUCAGGAAGAACACCGGUGGCGAAAGCGCUCUACUAGGCCGUAACUGACACUGAGAGACGAAAGCUAAGGGGGCGAAAGGGAUUAGAUACCCGUGUAGUCC
rnacentral:rRNA from 1 species